CUUAGUUUAGGAAUGACGAUCUUACUUCCAAGGCAUUUUAAAUUAAGCAUGGUGCUUAGGUUAAAAUGCCCUUCUAAAUCAAAUUAGACAUGGUGUCUAGGUUGAUUUUUGAGCCGAUAGUAUGCUAUAGUAGAUAUGGGAUACUUUGUUGGACUAACCCCUAUAGGAAAACUUUCAAUAUCAACCUAGGAAGUCCUGAGAUAAACUCACAUUGGAGAUGAAGAAAGUGACACAUGAAGUUUAACAAUUUGCACAAGAAAGACGUAGCUCAAAAGAGAUGAUUCAUGGAGGGUGCCACAAACACGAUGCACAACCGCUAAGAAAGGAAAGCUUCCACAAGGUGAUACUGUACCGUCACUCUUCAAGUAAGGUAACAUUUUAAGGUACUUGACUAUCGCUUUUAUAAGUUUCUCCUUGGUUCUGGCAUUCACACAAAAUAAAGAGACAAACUUGUAUGAUCUGUAACUCCAAAUUAACCAACUCAAUUAAUUCAACAUGUUUAGUCCUUUAAUCUUUGUUCUUAGUACUACCUUUGUGACCACACACUCCUAAUCAUAUAAGCUAAAGUAUUGCACAUUCAAUCUUGGGAAGAUAUAAACAAAACAUAAAUAUAGAUAGAUUAUCUUUCCAUUAGGUUGAGCUGUCUGAUCUGACAAAAGCUACACUCAUGAUCCAUCAACUUUGUCUUGCUCACUAUGCUUAAGGUUAGAGAAGAAUAAAUACACUUUUGGUUCUGUUGGUGUUUUCCACCAACAGGGCCCAUGCACUUGAUCUCUGCCUUGUCUCCAUAAACAGGUACACUUCGAACAAAACCUAGAGGAGUUUUAGAACUCCAAGAUUCCACCAAGUGAAGAACCAGGAUCUAUGAGCACAAACACAAUGGAGAUCAGACACUUAGUUUCCCAAAGGAAAUAUUGAAGAACCUCUGUGUCCGAGUUGGUACCUUGUACGCUCCAGCAACUUCGUGGUGAUAGAGACUGGUACUGAGGAGAGGGCACCCAUCAUCCUAGGGAGGCCAUUCCUAAACACCAGAGCUAUCAUCUACGCUAAUGCUGCCAAGAUCAGUUCCUACAUUAAGGGGAAGAAGGAGACUUUCCUUCAAGAACAAGACUACACAAACUUCAGAGCAAUCCCGACAUAAACCAAGGAAGAGGACCUACAGGAGGAACAGGAACAAGCAAAUGUGGACCGAGUCAACUAAGAUGGUCACUGCAACUCAAGGAGGUCAAGAUCGACGACUCAAGUCACUUUUCUUGAUCAAGAAGGACGACCCUGGUGUUCCAAGCAUUGAGUGCACAAUCAAUAGAUACUCUUUUUAGAAGACACUCUAUGACACCGGAUCUGACGUCAACAUAAUGGCCACAGUCACUUAUCAGCUCCUGCAUCAGACCAUGCCUCUGCAACCAAUAUACAUUCAGCUCCAGAUGAUUUUCAGGUCAUUGACAUGGGAGAAGACGAGUACGAUCCACCCACCAUCCUUGGAAGACCGUUCCUCAACACUAUCAAAGCAAUCAUCUACAUUGGAACCGGAGAAGUCCACAUGCACUUCCCCUCUGAGAAGGUACGCCGCUAUUUUACUAACCUUUCUAUAUAGUUGAAGAUUCUAAGCAGGUCAGGACAAGAAGAAGACAACGCAACCGCAAUCAGAGGAGGCAAAUCAUCAAGGAUGGAUGGGAAGACUACGAAGGAGAAGUGAUAAGGGCUGAAGACAUGCAACUUGAAUAGAACUGUCCUAAGGAAACCAUAGCACCGAGUCAGAUAUGGAAAGAGAAGAUAGUUAUAGCCACCAGAACCACCGACUAUGCCAUCCAGCGAAUCCCAGGAUGACCGAGAAAACGGAGAGUCCCGGUCGGAGGACUUAAAAACACCGAACGCCUUGCCAAGAGGUAAACUUGGUAGUUAUCCUUUUUCAUUCAAUAGUUUGCUUAGUUAAUCAGGUUCAUGCUAUCUUGAAAAGAAAAUAAAAAAAUAGUAAGCCCCAUGUGAGUAUGCUCAUGGCAUAAAACCCAUAAGUACAUUCACUGUGGUGGCAUAAAAAUAAAAUAAAUAUGUUUUCAUCUUACAAUAAAAAUAUAAAAAUAAUAAGUGCAUGAUCCUGCUAAAUAAGUAAUAUUUAUUGUGGAGGCUCAACAUGAUAAAGGCUAGAUACUUAUGCUAACACUUAACCAGUUCUACAAAGCUUUGUUGUCUAUUUGAGCUCCACAAAAUUCAAUGAUCAAAGAAGACUAGCAGACGGAGGACAUCCUAAUCGCUGUCAGGGUGCUACCGACAUUCAAAUACACCUCCAUCACCUGCUAGCUACAUGAGAAGAAAUUACGUCAAAAUCCAGCUUGGGGGAGAGCACCCCCAUUUAUCCAGCUAAGUGUUUCUACUCGCGUUUAUACUUUACUCAAAUAAUAAAAAGAUGCAUAAUCAUAAAAAAACCCAAAUAAAGAUUUUGUGCUUUUAUAUAUAUCUUUGCUUAGUUUGCGAAAUAAAUAAAUAAAUAAAGUUUGCUAUGAACCCUCAUGAUAAACUCUCACAUGGAAAUGAUGAAUAGUUGCUCUGCCAUGACUAGUUCUUAAAAUUGAAAUCUCUCUCAAGUUUAGGCAUGACUAUUAUGAAGUAAGAUUUGCUCUAAUCUGAACUUGUGGGAAGAGUACUUGAUCUAAAGUCUAAGUCGUUAACGGAUAUGAUAUGGGAAGGUUGAGCUGCUAUUUAUCUAUUCCUAGAGAUGCUAAAAUUCUAGAGAAUUUUAUCUUUGAAAAUCUUUAAAAUAUCACAUGAUGAGUUCCUAUAUGAUGAGAGUUUAAAUUCCUACCACAGCCAUAUAUACAUGCUUGCUAGACUUUGAGCCACACAUUUACUUUUUACUGCUUAUAAGCAUUGAGUGUGGUCAAGCUGUGUAGACCCUAAGGAGCUUGUCAUGCGGUUAGAAUCAAGAUUCACUUGCACGUUCACUCACACAUGCUGCUUCUACUCCGGAAGUACGCAUCCACAUACAUCCACUCAUUUCCAUCUCCAGAUUCACCCAAAAUUAUUCUACUCCUAAUCCGGGAGAGAAUAGCCAAAAACAUUUUCCUAUCCCUAUUAUUCCCUGUGAAAUAAAUGCUCAAGUUAUCUUGGUUACUACCACUUGCUAUAUUAUUUCAGGAGAUGAGUGCUCUAAAAAAAAGAAAGAAGGAAAAAAAUACGAGGAAAUAAAAAGGGGCAAGUGCCCGGAACCUCGAAGAAAAAGAAAAAAGUGAGACGAGAGGUAAAAAUGGACAAGUGUCCGACAGUAGAAUUAGGGGUACAAGAUACCCACCUGAGAGAAAAGAAAAAGAAAAUAUAGAGCAUAUCAUUCUCCCCAAAAAGCUUCAAAGUGCAAGAAAGGUAUGUAUCCCCUCAAAAGAGUAAAAGUAGAAUUAGACUUUCACCAUCAUUAUCACCAUCAUCACCAUACACCAUUCAUUCGCCACACAUGCACAUCUUGAUUUGACUUAUUGACUUGUUUCUCUGGAUCCAUGGUUUGACUGUGCAAUAAAUGUCUUGUAAGUAUGUAUUAGCUGUCUCCCACCUAUGAGCUCCAGAUAUCAAAACCUUAUUAGAGUAGGGUGAGAGAGAAGGUAAUAUCACUAUGCCUCAUACCAAAAAUACCACAUACUUUGAGAGAAGGCAUAUACCACUACUGCCUUGGUAAGGAUCCAGAAAUACCACAAAAGAGAGAUUUGAGAGAGUCAUAUAAGGAAUCUCUGAGUUUUAUUUGAAAAUAUGCAAAAACCCCAGAGCUAUAGCUGAUCAAAGAAUAAGAGACAUGGAGCUUAACUUGACCAUUCUAUCUUUUAACUGCUCAAGACACAAGUGACGGUUACAAGCCCCAUGGUGAAAGAUAAAAUGAGUAAGUUUUAAGUCUUAACAGUUUAUUCUAACUCAGAGAUGAGAUCUUACUUGAAUGCGUGUGUACUUUUAAGGCAUGAAACCACUGCAGAAACUCUUGAGUUCAACCUUGCUCAGGGACGAGCAAGAGGUAAGCUUGGGGGAGUUUGUUGACGGUCCUUAAGUACCAAAUAUAAUCAUCAAAUAAAUAAAGAAAAGGAUCCAAAUGCAACCAACAUCUAGACUUAGGGUUUUAUCUGACAGAAUUCCACGAGUUUUGGUGUUUGUCUAUUUCUGCAGGGGGUUAUCAGGAAAUAAGGAAGAAAGGCCCACAUGUCAGGAUUACAUAGAGAUAUCAAUGCACCGUGCAAUUUUCUACCAUCUAGAAGACUCCAGAAGCCACGAGACCGAAGCGGAGGCGAAACGGGGCCAGGACCUGGGCGCCCGCCCAGUUUCCUUGGGCGCCCGCCCACCUGCCGAGCCCAAUCAGUACUCUUUCUCUCGGGAGAUCGCCACCGACCUAUUGGAUCCAGAAUAACGUAGUACCACAUCGCCUACCGACCCAAAAAACGCAUAGAGGAGGAGGACUAUAUUAGGAGACCCCCCUGGCCCCUGGAGAAGACAAGAAAUUAUCAUAGAGAUUGAGGGGUGCCCUUGAAGGAAAACCUCUUCUCUAAAUAAUAUUUCUUUUUAGGCUUAGCAACCAAUGUAAGGUAGAAAUAGAUCUUCUAGUUUCUACUAGAUUGAGAGAGAUAGAGUGGAGGUGUGGAUCAGAGGAAGGCCGGCCUGUCGGUGUCUACUCGGAGUUGUACCUGCGGGAUCAAGUCUCCUAACCCGAGGCUUGCUUCUAAGAUUCUUCAGUAAUUCGACUUCUAAUUCUAGUAAGUUCUUGUUUUAUUGUUCUUUGGUUUAUGAGUUUACUUUAAUCCUCUUCCGGUUGAGUAUUAGAGUAAUCACUUGCUAGCGUAAACGUGGUGUUUAGGCUAGGGUACUCAUAGAUAUCCCCUGACUAACUGGACCGUGGUAGUAGCGAGGAACGUGACAUUUCCGAGUUACCUUUGUAUCCCAUAUCUUGUUAGCAGGACGGGUAGGGUUUAUAGGUGCGGGUCGAACAUCCUUUGUGUUGUCUAGAUUCCGUGAGCCUCUCCAAUAGAACAGUAGAUCAUCCUUACCAAGGUUAGAACGAGACUAUGGGUGCAGUCUUCUCUAUACAUCACUCACAUCGAGAAACAUUCUUUGUAGCCUAAAGGGAUAGUAGCAAUAGAUUUGGUUAGUCAGAUGCACCCUUUAUCCCAGUGAUAAAAAUAUAAAUACGAUAACUCUGGAUAAUCUUCCGGGUGAAAUGCUCACCGAUAUUCGUGCGCUUGCGGAUCAUUUCCUGAUUGCGUUACCAAAUAUCAACAAUGUGUUGACACCGAUUUUUGGACACGUAUCUUUUGAUACGCACCUGGAGAUAAUGGAACGUGGACCGGCAGAUGGAGCGAUGGUGACUAGUCUACAGGGGAGUUGCCGAUGAAGGUGGUUGUCGAUGGGGAAAUAACCGAGUAUGACUAAGUCCAGAAGUGGUGACGUAUUCGUGCCGAUGAUCUGUGCCGGUGUUUGCCGAUGGCUGUAACAGGUAGUCUGCCGAUGACUCUAAAGAAAAACAUGGAGGUUGCCGAUUGAUUCGUAGCAGUGUCCCGAUCGGUUACGGAGGAUGGUUUAAUGUUUUUCUUUAGUUAUUAGAGUUCGUUUUGUGUACGAAUUCCGUUUAGUUUGGAAUUCUAGUUCUAGUCGUGUCUAGUUGUAGCUCUUCGGACAGGGUAUAAAUAUAGACCCUAGGGCAAUGUAAUGAGAUAUCUAUCAAUCAAUCAAACACAAGUUUUUACUCAUAUUCCAGCAUCUACUUUUUUCGACGACUUCAUCAUAUUUUCCUUUUAUUACGAGUUCUUAGGAAUUCGUCGAGUCAAACUCGGCGCGUUCUCAAGUUCCGCGUGAGCACCUCUUGGCUGUGACAUCCAGGCGCAUCGCUGUUGUCGGGACCAAAGUGUUCGAGUUACCACAUUUGUCGAUUAUAAGGUCAAAUCGGCUGGCACGCCUUAACGUUUGGAUCGGGUAUUAGCCCUUUGUGUUUGCAGAUCAGCUUUUGCAUCAACAGUAGUUCAUCCUAGUUCCAUGCUAAUGACUUGCUAGAAUAUCUGUUGAGGUGCUUAUCAUUAUCAUAUGUGGCUAGUUAUGCUGAUCAGAUUAGUUAUCUUUGUCACCAUUCAUACUUUAUCUAUAUUUUAUGUGAUAUUUAUCCCUGUAUUGAUGAGAUAGAUGAAUGCUCUCUAUUACACAUGUGAUGAUACUCAGUUCCAUAUUUCAUUCCACAAUAAACAUUGGUGUUAGUUAUCCCUUCCUAGUGGUAAAAAUAUAAAUAAUGAUACCUGGAAUACUUCCCGGUUAAAAUGCUACAUCGGUAUUAAUCUGUGUGCUUGCAGAUCCCUUUUAUUAUUUAUUCAGAAGAGCAAUUGCUUAUUUCAAUACCGCAUCUCUCAUGUCAUGUUGGGGAUGACAACUUGGCUUAAGUGGCAUGAGGGAUAAGUUCAGCAUUUUUGGUGCCGUUAUCAGAAAUAGAAAACUAAGUCUACUUUUGGUAAUGACGUUAAGAAUGCCCAAUAGUUGACACCAAGGAUUAUGAAGGCUUUAUCAGUGGGCUAGCUUGACUCACUUUCGCAAAAAAACUUAAGCUAUAAGUAAGUAUCCUUUUAGGUAUUUAGCUCAAGUUAGUAUUUAUUAACCUGUUGUAAAGAUUAGCACUUGUACUAUAGCAAUCACUUGGUUAAGAUACAAUAGUAGUGACCAUUUUAUAUGUAGCAUUUCCAACAUCAUCGUACCAUAACCAUCUGAGUGUUCUAUAAAUAUUACUACGAUGACGUAGCUCAAGUCAAGUGCUCACUAUCUAGGAGUGAUGGUGAAUCGAAAUGAUCAAUAACUAGUUGGUGAUAUAUUCUCCACACAAACCAUGCUUCCCAUGUCAGGGUCACUUUGGUCACUGAACGCACUAUUUUCGUUAAGUCGCUAGUUUGAUAGGCACUACCAUACCCAGGGGUUGCCUGAUUGCCAUGAUGUACCUUGGCCUCACCAUCGUGCCCCCGUAGUCAACCCCAUCAUGCAUCAGGGCAACUCUCGGCCCGAAUAGCAUCCUAGCUUCAUAGUCGAAAUGAGUUAUCUUUCCAGUUAAGUAUGGGGCAUGCAUUCAACAUGACAAGAGGGACGACAACGGUCGGUCCUUAUUCGAUAUAGACAGAAUCACUAUGGUUCAAACCCCCAUAAGAUUUUGCUCGGUCUUAGUUUAUUCAUUAACACUUGGUUAUGAUCCAUGAUAGCAAACAUAUUGCUAAUCUGCUAGGUAACCACCUGGAGCUCGCAGGUGAUAGGAAAUCACCUGACUUCUACCGACUAAGCAUGGUUAAGCAUUAACUUCAAUCCUACACUAAAUAGGACAACAUGGUUAUAUACAAGUAUGGUAUUCAAGGAAGAUUUGAUGCAUCAACGGUUGCAAGCAACUCCGAUAACUUAAUGAAAUAACAUAUAACCAACAUAUACUAUGUGAAUAUGAACUAGUUAGAGUAAUUAGUAGGAGACUUGAAUGCUCCGGGGCUUGUCUUUCUCAAAGGAGCUAGGACUGUGAGCCGAGCACUCUUGCAGUCCCUCUUCCUACUCUUCUUCCUCAGUUACCUCCUACACCACCACCACUUUGGGCUCCUUAGGCUCGACCACCACUUCGUUCUCCUAUGAUCCGGUAUGAUACAUAUGCGUAUGUGAAUAACCGAACAAUGUAUAUGAGAUGGUGCAUGAUGAUAUGAAAUACUUGUUUAUUAAUGAUCAUGAUCACUUUUGUAUGGUUUUGAGUAUGUGCAUAUCUCCUCUCAGGUAGUGGUCCACUACCACACCAAGUAGAUAUCAAACUUCUUCUAUAAGGUAGUCAACAUUAUCCAAGAACAUAUCCAUAAGCACAGGUCAUCUAUUGCCUUCUCUUCUACUAUCACUUACCCACUUCACCACACAUUACUCUACACCACAUCAGCAUGUUAAGGUGCUUCAAAGAUACACCAAACUACUUUAACCAUCAUCAACUACCCACAAAACAAUUAUUCAUUCAUUUAAUUAAUACUAGGUCAUACUAACAGCAUACAUCUCUAGUGUUCAAUAAAUCCUGAGAAAAUUAUAGUAGCUUAUUCAUACAUAACAUAGCCUAUCAUAGAAUUUUCACUAUAUUUGGAUAAAUAACACAACCUACACAAAAAUGGCAAACACACAAGCCAUAAAAAUAUGCAUAACAUAACAUAACAUAACAUAACAUAACAUAACAUAACAUAACAUAACCUAACCUAACAUAACGUAACAUAACAUAACAUAACGUAACGUAACGUAACGUAACAUAACAUAACAUAACAUAACAUAACAUAACAUAACAUAACAUAACAUAACAUAACAUAACAUAACAUAACAUAACAUAACAUAACAUAACAUAACAUAACAUAACAUAACAUAACAUAACAUAGCACAUAUUAUAUUUUUCAUAGAAUCUACACAUCAACGCAAGACUAAUAAAACAAGAACCAUAUAUGUUUUAAUUCAAAUUCUAUUUACUAUGCAUUUCACAAGAAAACAACAAUUUAAACAUUUAAAUAAUGCUAUAUACAAAAGUAUCACAAAAAUGACAUGCAACAUUUUUAACACGUAGAUCUGGUUACCAAGAUCACAACAAAAUUGGUUUCACCAAAAUUAAACACAUAUUUCAAUUUAUAAUUUCUACAAAUAUUUACACAUAUCUAAAAUUUAUUUUAAAAAUCAUUUAACACAGACAACACUACAUGCACCUGAAUCUGCACCUAGAACGGCCCCCCCCGAUGGCUGACAGUGGCCCCCCGGCACCACAUGUCAUCGCCACUGAGACGAGGGAGGUUUCCGGUGGUGGAAUCGUGCUGUCAGGAAGGUCUUCGAUGGUGCCGACCUCACCGACGUGUUUCCUGUGCUCCUAUGAACCCUAUGUGCUAGAUGGUUAGACUGAAGGAGCGUCCCUUUACCUUGAUGAUGGUGGCUACUACUACGGGCACUUGAUGGAGCUCUUCAAGGCGGAGCUGUGAGCAUGAGGAAUUGAGCAUGGAGGCGAAGAUGAGCAUGCACUGCACUAGCGGAGGUGCGUGGCAACACUACUCAUGGUGGCUGCACUGAGCCACUGCUACUACUAGGGAGUGUGCGGGCGAGAGCAGGCAAGCGUAGGCACGAGGGAAUGAAGUGGAGAGAGGUGUGCACUGUCCAGGUGGGGUUAAGGCCACGCUACUACACCAUUGGACAUGUCUGACAUCUCCCUGAGCAGUUUCUAAACUCUUUGAGUAGCGUCCGGUGUGAGGGUCACGCGUUUGGUGCGUAGCAUCUAAUGCGUCCGACACAUGUUGUCUGUGAACCUUAACGUUUAAGUGACCGUUGGAGAUCAAUGGGUCAUAUUUAACUAAGGACAUAUGGCAACAAUCCAGUGGGUCUAUCAGGGGACCGUCAGACGCUAAGGCCAUGUUCGACGCGUUGUGUCGGAGCGUCUGACGCCAUCGACAUAGGAAGCUCCUAGAGCCUAACGGUUCUAUUUAUUGAGGGGGCUUAUAAAUAGUUGUUGACCAGCUCAAGGGUGCUCCUCUUCGCACUUUGAGACACUUAACAUCCUUGUGAGCCUAAGGAAACACCUCCCACUCGUAUCCUUCAUAGGUUCAUCAUAUAUUUAUGAGAUUGGGAGUGAUUCAAAGUGCAUUUACUUGAGUAAUUGUAUCUAGUGGCACUUGGGGAUCAUUAUGGCUGUGGUAUUCUUAUUACUCUUGGUGGUUGCCGCCAUCUGGACGGCUUGGAGCAGCGAAGAAGCAUUAGCAUGAGUUGGUGAUUGUUUGUGGCCAUCUCUCGGUGAUUGUGAGGGGUCUUGUACCUUCCUCAAUGGAGAGCCAAAAGGUAACUCUAGUAAAUUACUCGUGUCAUUGAGUUACCUCACUUGUGGCUAGGUUCUUAUGGUGUCCUAGUGAGGACGAGGUUCGUGCUACACCUCUUAGCUGCUGAACUACCAAGUGUAGGUCGACGCAACGGGGACUAGUGUGCCAGCAAGCACAUGAACCUCGGGAGAAAAAUUGGUGUCUCAAUUGUGAUUGAUUGGCAUUCUCCUAGUGAUUGAUUGCUCAUAUAUUAUGCUUGGUUCAUCCCCUACACCGCGGUAUAAAGAUCACAUCCUCACUAUUUACAUUCCCACAAAGUAGUGUAAUUAGUUUAGUUGCUAGUUUUGCUUUGUGUAGCCUAGUUCACUAGUGUAGCUUGUAGUGACAUAGCUAUUAUAUGUCUAGUGAUCUUAGUAGCUAGAAUUGUUGGAUAGGUGGCUUGCAAUCCUUGUAGAGCUAGAGCAAAUUUGCAUUAUGCCUUUUGUUGUACUAAUCAUUUGCUCUAGUGAGUUUGUAGUUUUUAAAUAGGCUAUUCAGCCCCCUCUAGCCAUAUUAGGACUUUUCACGCAGCGGCCGAGCCCUAGCAGCGUGGCGCGGCACACGUGCGGGAGGCGUAGGUGGAGGCAGGCUGGGCCAACGUUUGCUAUUGGGUCGAAUGGGCGGGCGCGGCCCAAGUGUGGGUUUUCCAUUUUUUGAAAUUCAUUUGAAUUAGCAGCUAAAUCUAAAUUUUGAGAAAAUUCCAAGCAUUUUCAAAAGUUUUUGCUUAAACAAGAGUUGUUCAAAAGUUUAUGCCUUACAACUUUUCUUAAGGGCACUUUUCCAAAUUCAAAGUAGUUUUUGAAUUAUAAGCAGAUCUUGAACUGGGUGGAAUAAAACCUAUUUAUUUUCAAAUUUAAAUUUGAAAACCUUUUCAAAAACAACUUGUUUUUAUUUGCUAUCCUAAAUUAGUUUGGAGAGUAAACACACCACACAAUGCGUCACAAGCAUGAACAUGGCAUCACCUACACUCAGCUUAGAACUUUUAAACAUAUAAGCAUCACAUAGAAGCACUUUCAUUCUCAAAUGCAAUGCAUAUAUGAUGGGUAUGUAUGAUGAUGAUGAUUAUGCUAAUGUGAUGCAAUGCUUAAUGCAUGCUUAACACUAGGGGUUUUACAGAUCGGACGCUAGGCUGAGUCCGAUCUGUGCAUCCGCUCAGCCAGAGAGCUCCCAAUGGCUCUCUUUGUCUUGGGGCUCUAUAAAUAGGAGGGGUCGGUUCCAAGCUCACUCUGUUCGAUAUUUUGACAUUCUUGACAUCCCUUUGAGCUGAUCAUACUUCCACCCACUCAUCUCUCUUGCUUGAUUGUGAAUCCAAAGUGAGAUUGAGUGAUUCCAUGUUUAUUUGUUUGAGUGAUUGUAUCUAGUUGCACUUGGGGAUUGUUUGACCUGUGGAGUUCUAGUUACUCUUGGUGGUCUCCACCACCUAGAUGGCUUAGAGUAGCAGUGGAGAUCUGGCAUGUGUUGGUGAUUGUUUGUGGCCACCCAUGGUGAUCAUGUGAGAGGUUCUUGUGUCUUCCCCGAUGGAGUGGCAAAGGCAAUUCUAGUAAAUUGUUCGUGUCAUUAAGCUACCUCACUUGGGUAGGUUCUUGCGGUGUCUAAUAUUGUAGACGAGGUUCGUGCAACAUCUCUUAGCCAACGAACCACCAAGUGUUGGUCGACACAAGAGGACUAGUGUGUCGGCAAGUACUUGAACCUUGGGAGAAAAAUCAUGUCUCCUUUAUGAUUGAUCUAUUGAAUUUCUCCCUGUGUGAUUGGUCUUCAUUCCAUUGUGAUUGGUUCAUUCCUUGAUGAGAUGGUAUAAACAUCACACUUCUCUCAUUUAUAUUACCGCAAACUAGUUGUAACAAGCUUAGUGUAAGUAGUUUUGAGAGAUUAUCUUACCUUUGCUAGUGUAGCUUCUCACCUUGAGCUCUUUAGUGUAAUUAGUUGUGAGAGCUCUUAGUGACAUAAGUUUUGUUGUGCCUAGUAAUUAUAGCAACUAGAAUUAUUGGAUAGGUGGCUUGCAACCCUUGAAGAGUUAGAGUAAAAUUGCAUUUCGCCAUUUAGAUUAGUAGCCACUUGCUCUAGUGAGUUUGUAGAUUUUUAAGUAGACUAUUCACCCCUUCUCUCCAUACUAGGACCUUUCACUCCCCCUCUAUAUUUUGACACUAUCGAGCUAGAAAAGUGCUGACCAAGGAGGAUAGCAUGAGUCUGAAUCUGGUAGUGGCCAGACGCAGUGGUGACCAAAUAAGUGGUGGUCGAACACAGAUGUGGGAUGAAGGAGAUAAGAGGGUAAAGGGUGAAAAAAUAUCAAUAGAAUGUAGAAGUCCCCUACUCCUUACUUGACCUAUGGGAGAAAAGGGUGGGAUGGAGGAGAUUUGGGACCUCUACUUUUGAGGGGUGAGUUGGCAGUAGCCUAUUGGAUUAUCUCUAUUUUUUCGCGCCAACUAACAAAGUAAAUAAACUAUUUAGGUAAUUAGCUAAAGAUGCUCUAAGAGCAUCUCCAACAACUUGGUAUUUCAACAUGCUAUCCUACCAAAUUUGCUAAAAGCAUAAAAAUACUCCUCCGACAACUCCUUAUCUCAACUUGCUAAAUUUCCCAAGUUGCUAUCCAGAGGUUUCUACUGUCGAGAUUUGUCAAGUUGCUAUCCCAAGUUGCUAUCCCGAGCGUAACUUGUUGGAGACACAUAUUCUUUUACCAAGUGAGCGGGUCCCAUCUGUCAUCCUCUAUUUUUACCAAGUGAGAAUAGCAACUUAUUGGAGACAUAUCCUUUUUUCUUUUACUAAACAAAUUAGCAACUUGCUAUAGCUCAAGAUUUGACAAGUGAAUUUUACCAAGUUGUUGGAGAUGCUCUAAGGCUUCCCCUCUCCUCCCCCAUUUAUCUCUCUCCUCAUACCUGUCUCCCCGUCAUCACCUCCUAACUCUCUCUGAUCUCUCUCUCUCUGGUGCUUCCACCUUGUGCUAUGCCACCACUGGCGGUACACCCAUACACUAGUGCCCCAUGACACCGCCGUACAGUAUCUCUCGCCAUGGUCAAUGUAAACCUAGCAUGUAUAUCGAAAUACAUUGCUAGUGGCUCAUCCAUGACUAAGGGCCCUACGGUUAUGGAAACACAGGAGCUAGUCCAGCCAUGCACAUCCAUCCCCCUAGCAUCACGCACCCCUGAUCAAUUCAUGUGUAUAUUGAAGUGGGUUUGGAGUGAAAUCUAAACUAAUUAAAAGUUCCACCUCAACCCCUCCUAAUUUGUGCAUGCUUCAUCAAAUCUGCACGUUGAGCUAGCGCCCACACUGCUGCAGGAUUAGACAUUAGCACCGGUCGGGAACGGCCUGUUGCCCCGGUUCCUGAGCCGGUGCUGCCUUUCCGGGACUAAAGGCCCACCCUUUAGUCCCGGUUCGGGGAACCAUGGCUAAAGCCCUCCCUUUAACACCGGUUGGUAAUACCAACCGGUGUUAAAGGGUUUUUUUUUUCAUUUCUUCGGUUCUGUUUAUUGUUUUUAUAUAAUAAUAAUAGGUUUUUCAAUACAUGUUUUUGCUGAUACAAUAAUAUAUUUAUAUUACACGCAUAUUAAGCUUUGCCUAUAAUAAAAUGAAUAGGCCACAUCAAAAAUUAAAUAGAUAUGUAAAAAGCUUUAUAUAUAUAGUUUUAUAUGUACAAAAUUCGUAACACAUAUAUACAUAGAGUUUUUUCUCACAAUGUCUACAAACGAUACGAAUGAUCAUCGUUGUUUGGAAUAAGAGUUUUGUUGCCGUUGAAGUGAAACUCGCCGUUUGGAUUGAUCACUUGCUCGCGGAGAAAUCCUGCUAUCGUCUCUUGGAUAGCUUUGAUUCGGUCUUUUUGUAUAACCUUUUCCCUCAACCAUUCCGUUUUUAAUUUAAAAUAAAUAAAAAAGGUAUUAGUUAUCUAAGUUAUUCAAUAUAAUUCAGGAGAUAAUGAAAAGAGACAUGUAACGUACUCUGAGCGUCUCUGUGGGUGUUUGAUUGACUUGUGCCAUCAUGAAUUUGCACACGUAAUAUGCACAUAGAUUGUUCCCCCCUUCUUGUCUUAAACACCACUGUAUGAUAUAUAUAUAUAUAUAAAAUAUUCACGACCACGAUAAUAAGAAGGCUAAAAGUUAGCGAAAGUUUGCUAGCUAGUAGAACUUACUUGUGGAUGUAUUAUAUUAAGCGGCGCUUUACAUCCACUGCGAUGUUCGCGGUCAAUGAAUAUUUCCCAAACCCUACACACAGCCAUUGUGGAUCGUGAACUAAUAAUUACAGAGUCAUAUUAUGAUAUUCUUCUAGCUGAGAUCGACAUUACGUACCUUUGAAUAAUGUUUACCAUUUGUUGAUAAUUUUCUUGUGCUUUUCUUGAGGAGAGGGCGGGCCUAUAAACCGGAGCUUUAGCACCGGGUCAGGGCAAAAACCGGUGCUAAGGGUCACCCUUUAGCACCGGUUUGUGUGCCAAACCGGUGCUAAAGGGUUUGCCUCGGCCCGUGGCACUGGCCAGUGCCAAAGGGGACCCUUUAGCACCGGUUGGUAACACGAACCGGUGCUAAAGGGUCCCUGCCCUGACAGCACCUGUCAGUAGCCGUUGGGCAGGACCCUUUAGCACCGGUUCGUGUUACGAACCGGUGUUAAAGGGGCCUUUAACCCCGGGCCGCAAAAAGGCCGAGGUUUUUGGCCAUUUUGGACAUCGACCAAUGCCUCAUUAUGUAGUAAUGUCAAGGUCUGGAGCACACCCUCAGCAGCGUCUUGACAUCAAAGCCGUUUACUUUCCAAAAAAUUUUACAAAUUUUUUCAGAUUCUCCGUCACAUCGAAUCUACAAACGAAAGUGCUACGGUGUCAAUUUUUCAAAAAAAUUUAGAACUAAACAAGUCCCAAGCUAAAUUAUGUAGGUGAUCAAGAACAAAAAUAAGCUUGUCCCUAUAAGGAUCGGACAUCAGACCACGUGUUCGUUAUCAAUUUGGUGACGACUGCAGAUUAAGUUGCUGCUACGAUAUUUGUCCCUGCAUUAUCACUCGUUGUUUAUACAUAUGUGCAUGUGAGCAAACUAAAUGUUGUCAUUGACUAGAUGCAUGUUCUGUGGAUCACCCUUCUUGUCCCACAUCGCGAGGUAGAUCUGAUAGGAGACAGAGCCCUUCCAAGUUGCUCUUAGUCUGAAUAUAUAAGAUUUGUAUCAGCAUCAGCAAGGUCAAAUCUUGGUAGUGUACUGCUCGCAAAAACAAAAAAAAAAUCUUGGUAGUGUGCGUUGCAACGGAAAACCCGAUACUGAUUGGAGAUGAAGCCACUGGUAGUUAGAUGCGGAACGUCAUUCUUUUUGGCUCUUAACAUAUAAACAAACAAAAAGUGAGGAAUUAAUUCCAAAGCGAAGGUUCCUCACAUUGUUCGAACAUGCAUGAAUACUCGAUCUACCCCAACAACUUGCAUUGCUGUGUCUGAGCAUGCGCGCAGGAUUUACUUACACAAGGUAAACUUUUUACAGUACAUUACACACGGAGUGUGCUAACUGCUGCGAGAGUGACGGUAGACCGCCUACGGGUUGGGGAGGCUAGCUCAGGUAAACAGAGGCUUUUAUUUUCGUCGAAUUAAUUCCAUUUCAUCCCAAGUCGUCAUUAUUACCUAAUAUAAUAGUACGUAGUUUGCAGACGACACAAGGAAAAGUCCGGAUGAUUGACUUAUCAACAAAAUGUAUACGCACGCAGUACUAUAUAUAUAUACCAGCCAGUUGAACUUCCCUAGAAAUUCAUCACUAAUUACGCCAGUUUCAAUGGGAAUUUAUUAGAGUUUUAUAGAUAUUAAAUAUGUUGAUGUAGUAUCGUAUUAACGAAGAGAGAUGAUAAAAGUUUUAUGAGAAUAGAGAAAGUUUUAUAGGGAUGAAACUCUUCUUUUUCAAAAUAUGGAUAUGUUGUGGAUCAUAAAACUCCAUUAAGAAUAACCUUAACGCGUGCUCUCACCAUACACAUGAAUCCAAACAAGUAAUAAUAGUCAAAUCCUACGGGCCAUAGGUUUGCUCAGCUUAACUUGAGCUACGUAGAUCUGAAAAAAAAAACAGAGCUACAUACCUAUACCGGUAUACCACGUCAUUCACUCACGGCAGAGAACAGGCAACUUCUUCCCGGGCCUUUCCGCGCAUAACGUAUGCAUGUAAUCUGCUAUGUUUGACUAUUAAUCAAUCAUUAUCUUAUCGUUUCAUCCAUGGGAAGCAACUGGCAUGUCUCUCACUAUAUGUAGUGUAGCUAACUAACUAUAGUAAUUAAUUUCCCGCGGGCGUGGCGCGUGGUCCAACUAUGUGUACAUAUAACAGCACAAAAGGAAUUUCAAAAUUCUCACGCUUUAUUUCUUCUGUCAGCCACAUGACAAAUACUGUAUAUAUAUUGUACAGAUUUUAUAUUAGGACCGCUGUUUAUAUGUUUUGUAUUCAUAAAAGGUCAACCUUACACUACUGGAAUUCCGUUCUUUGCCGACUGCCAAAAGCAGUCGGCAAAGGCCCUAAAACAGGUGGCAAAGGCUUUGCCGACUGCAUUACACGUGGCAGUCGGCAAAGAACACCCGACAAAGAAUUCGUCGGUAAAGAAACCUUUGCCACCUGCCAAGAGGAAAGCAGUCGGCAAAUCCUUUGCCACCUGCCAGUAUGGCAGUCGGCAAAGGGAACGAACGCCGUUGUGAGAUGACGGAGCUCUUUGCCGACUGCAUUUCUUGGUAGGUGGCAAAGAGCCCUUUGCCGACUGCCUUUCUUGGCAGGUGGCAAAGAGCCCUUUGUCGACUGCUUUUCUUGGCAGGUGGCAAAGGGCUCUUUGCCGACUGCCUUUCUUGGCAGGUGGCAAAGCUGGAAUAAGUAAAAUUUUGGUCCGUUUUUUCUAUUUUGCAUCACAGCAAUCAAAUCACAAAUAUGAUUAUAUAACUAGAAUUCACAUAUAUCACACACAGAUCCAUAUAUAUAUAUAUAUCACACAAAUCCACAUAUAUAUAACACACAUAAACCAUAACAAAGGAGUCCAACAAGUCCAUCAUAAAACAAACGUGCGUGCGUUCCUUUGCACAAAACUGUGCUCAUCGUCUAUCUAACAAACAGAUAAAGAAACAUCAAGUGAUCCAUCGUAUCGUCAGAAAGAUCAUAUCAUCCUCUCCUGACAUGCUUUCACGCAGCAAUUCAAGAUACACUCGAUUAAUCCUCUACCCUGACGGCUGCCCGCAGACGACUUGAUCUUCCUUAAUUCGCACCACCAUUGUCAGACCCGUCCCGGCUGCCAAACCUUCAAUCACCACAGCAGAUGGAUACCAGACCACAUGUUAGUAGUUUACAACAAUAGGACUUCAGCCCAUUUCUUUGAUUUUUGACAAGAUAAGAUCGAUCGAGCACAAAUGGGUGAAUUUCUUAAAUUCUAAGGCCAAGACUAAUAAGACACAAAAAAGAUGGUUUUAUGUCGCAUGCUAAUGGCCACACAUAUAAAAGGCCUCCCAAUUCCAAAUAUGUGUAUAGAAGGUAAAAACACAGUCAUUACAGUAUACUAGUAUAAUGCCCGUGCUAACGCCAUGACUUUAUUUUAGGGAUGCAUAUGAAAAUAAUUAAAUUAGAGGACAUUUUUUUAUAUAGUUUAAGUUUGACGCUAUUGUAUAUGACCAAAUAUAUAAUUCGGAAAACACUCAUGCAAAGGUACUCGCCGCCUAGCUUUUGAAAACUACAACAUACAAAAGUACUAUAUGUUUCUAAUUGAAUCAUUCAUGCAACUAUACUAAUUGCCUACAACAUUGUUAUCCUUGAUUCUUACUUUCAAGUUCCCCAAUUUGCUGCAGAGAAUUAGCCUAAGACUUGCGGGGAAAUAUUAAAAUAACAUCUUAAAGUUAAUGUGACCAUAUUUAAAGAUAUUUCAAAGAGAAAUUUACUAUAAAACAAAAAUUACAAAUCAUGAAUGCUUCAAGGCAAUUAUCUCAAAAUUCUUUAAGCUAAGUGACAAAUCUUAAUAUUUCCCAUGCUAAUGCUACAGUGAUAUUUGGCAGUACAAAUCAAGCAAAAUAAAAAAUGAUACAAAGUUCGAUUAAUAUGUUCACACAACAGUCAAAGAGUUGGAACCACAAUUGAGCAAACCCUCCAUCGCAAUUUCCUGACCAAGCAUAGUAAAGAGUCAAAAGAAUGUUCGUGACACAAUAAAGUUAUUAUUGUACCAAUCAAAGCUUAAAGAGUAAUUUUUCCAAGUUACAAUACAAAUUAAUCAUCGCAACACUAUAUGUCGAUUUAUGAAAGUUGACAUCAACAGAUAGCACACUUUCUGCCAAUCUCCUUCUCUACCUAGAUAAGAGAGGCCUCAAUAAGCAGGUAACCUCUAUGUUUUAAGAAAUUACAGUCAAUGGCAGGGCCAUGUCUAGGACUCUAUAGUGGGGGCUGAUCUGCAUUCUGCACUCUGAAGCACAGUAGCGGGCCUAUGUUCAUCUUUAGGAACAAAAAUAUCUCUUCUCAAAGAAAAAAGGAACAAAAAUUCCACCAUUUAAACAUGAAAAGAUCGGAGAAAUAUUAAAACAAUGGCUAUUAGUAUGAUUGUUAUUUUACAUCAACAGGCAACAAAUCAUGAAUGAAUCAUCGAAGUGCUUCUAAAACAAGUCUUUAUUAAAGAGGUGUGAUUCUAAAACACAAAGACCUAAAAUAGAAUAAGGGAGUAUGGCAGAAUAUUAAAGAGUCAAAUAAAACAGCAGGCUAACCUAUCUUCAAAAGUUCAGAACCUCUACUCAAACAAGUCUUUAUUUCAUUCUCAAUCUUGAAUUAAUAAGCUGAUCGGUUUCAAAGAAACAACGACGCAGCACUAAUGAACAGAUGAACUUGAUAGUGAAUAUAUAUAUAGCAACUCAAAACAUGUGCAUAUAUAGAAUCAGAUAGAAGACACACGCAACAACUAAUUAACUUGUACUACAUUACACCAAUAGUACUCCUCAAAGAAGUAUCAUCUAUUACCAGAUCUAAACUAGGCCAAGUAGCGUUCACGCAGGCUACAAAUUAUACAGAGAUAAGUAUUUUUUAAUUAUAUAAAAUUCAAAUGAAGUCAGAAAAUUACGAAACUUGUUGAGGUGUCAUAUUAUCACAUAUGUAACCUAUGAUAAAAAAUUUAAAAAGUUUGGACAAAGUUACAACGUCAGAUGUGUAAAACCCACAUAUGAUAACAUGUGAUCACAUAUGGAGAUGUAUGGGUUUUGGAUAUUCGAAGUCGUAACUUGCUCCAAACUUUCUCCAAAAUUUUUUAUAGCCUCCACAUAUGAUAACAUGACACCUUGACAAAUUUCGAAAUUUUGUAACGUUUUUUACUAUAUUUCAUUAAUUAAUUUUUUUAAUUCGAUUUUCCGCCGUAUAAUCCUACUUUGAACUGCAGGUGGAUGAAAUAAUGAAAUCUAGGCAUUCGAAAAAUGAUAUUCAUGUCGAAUAAUGUAUUUUUAGACCAUAUCCAAAAACUGACCCAAAAUUUUGAAGUCCUUGUCCACAGAAUAUGAUCAUCCAAGUGUGGUAGAAGUGACUUUUAAUUAUAUAAAACUCAAACGAAAUCGGAAAAUUACGAAACUUGUUGAGGUGUCAUGUUAUCACAUGAGGAGCCUAUGAUAAAAUUUUGAAAAAAAUUGAAACAAGUUAUGAUGUUAGAUGUACAAAACCCAAACACUUCCGCAUGCGAUCACAUGCGAUCAUAUUGGAAAUGUCUGGGUUUUGUUCAUCUGAUACUGCAACUUGCUCCAAACUUUCUCAAAUUUUUUUUAUAGCUUCCACAUGUGAUAACAUGACACCUCGUCAAGUUUUGUAAUUUUCCGACUUUGUUUGAAUUUUAUAUAAUUAAAAACCACCUAUACCACACCUGGAUGGUCAUGUUCCAUGGAUAAAGACGUCAAAAUUUUGGGUGAGUUUCUGAAAACGACCUUAAAAUAGACUCUCCAACAUUAAUAUCAUUUUUUGAAUGACUAUGUUUCAUUAUUUGAUGCACCUGCAGUUCAAAGUAGGAUUCUGCGGUGGAAAAUACAAUUAAAGAAAUUAAUUAACAAAAUAUAGCAAAAAAGGUCACAAAAUCACGAAAGUUUUUAAGGUUCACACUUAUUGCAUGUGGAGGCUAUGAAAAAAUUUUGAGAAAGUUUGGAGCAAGUGAUGACGUCAAAUGUGCAAAAUCUAAAUUCAAACUUCAAAAAUAAAAAAUUUUAUCUUUGUCGACUGCCUAACGGCCUUGGCAAAGGGGACGGCGAUGGACGCUGUUAGUGUCCCCCCACCUUUGCCACCAGCUUUUCUUUGCCACCUGCCAGACAGCCAUCUUUGCCACCUGUUUUUCUUUGCCACCUGCCAGGAUAAUUUAGCAGUUGCCGACUGCUUUUAGAAGCAGUCGGCAAAGAGAAUGUUUGCCGACUGCCCUGUCUUUGGCAGGUGGCAAAGUAUUUUAGCAGUCGGCAAAGCCCAGUUUUCCGUUACCUUAUGGACCAAGAAAUGAUAUAUAGAGGAUUAACUAAUCCACCAAUACGUGUGGACUUUCAGUCCAGACGUUUAUAGUAGACCGCCGUACUCCAUGAAGAGCCAGAGAAGAUCAGUUGGCAAACUAAAUCAGGCACCUAAUGCGACGCAGCUAGCAGGCCUCUUUAUGCGUUAUAGAUGAUUAUUUGACUAAUAAAAUUCCUUUGGGUAUUUGGAGGUCACUUUAUCUAUUAUCUAUAAUUAUUUUGUUCUCACUAUAUCUUCACCCAAAUCAAAGAUUCCACGACUAAAUUGCAUGGUUCAGUUUUGAAGGAGCAACUGGGAAAAUUCAUUGAUUUGCAACUGGUAAAAUCCACGAAAACUUUGAUACACAAUUUGUUAGUAACAUUAAUGUACUUGCAUUUAGUUAUAUAUAUUAUACAUGUGGUAACUAACAAAUUAUAUCAAAGCUUUCAUGGACUCUUUUUCUGAUCAUACCUUGCAAGACAUAGUUUAUACAUGAGAAAAAAAAGAACUACCUUGUGAUUUAAUGACACCUUGUCUUAUAAUAAGUAGGAUUUUUAUGGUACAAGUAAUUGACUGUUCUGACCUGGUGGAAUAAUUCACAACAAUCCUCAUGCAUGCAUAUCUUUGUACAGUAAGAGCAAAACAAAUGAAGCAAUGCCUUUUUAAUCAUCAUAUUGCAAAAGAGGGGGGGGGGGGGGGGGGCUCAUACCCUAAGUGAGUGGUCGAAUGAAAUUAACAAAGUUCCAUUUGCAACCUAUUACUCUAACUCUAAAUUACAAUUCUAGGAAAGCCUUUUUCAUUGGGAGAAACACAUGUCAUUCGACCUAAUGAUAACAUAAUAUUUAGCUUAUAAACUAUAUCUCUUUUGGCCAUGCACAUGAUCACUAACACUGGAUUAAAGGCAGAAAGAACUUAGUGCAUUACCACCUAGAGAUUGCAGGUGCCAUUAGUGUCGUAGAUGUUGUUGUAGAUGUGUAGCAGAUUAACUAACCCAAAGUUUAUAUAUGCUAAUGUUAAUAAUAUCGAUUGUACGUGCCGACAUCACAUUUCAAUAACAAUGCACAUGAACGUACACACUAGAUUUCAAUAGUAAUGCUUCAGAUAUCGACAGACAUGUAAUCCGAGAGAGGGAAAUGGUAUAUAUAGCACGGAAUUAUGAGCUCAAAAUCUAAAUCCUACAUGAAUUAUGGAAUUGAAACUGUGUCACAUAUGGUGGGGAUGUUUAGUUCUCCUCUUUUACCAAAUUUUUUUACUGUUUUAGCCUAUCUUUCGGCAAAAUGGAUCCAAAUAGCAUGGGUAAAAAAGAGCAAAAUUUGAGCUAUAAAACUUUUGGUAUUUGAGACUCAAGAGGCUAAAACUAGACAAAAACAUCAUGAGGUGUGUGUUGUGUCUGUAUGGCUAAAGUUUUUUAAUACAUCUAAAUACCAAGAUGUUUGGCCUUGUUUAGUUGGCAAAAUUUUUUGUUUUUGGCUACUAUAGCAUUUCGUUUUUAUUUGACAAACAUUGUCCAAUCACGGAGUAACUAGGCUCAAAAGAUUCAUCUCACAAAUUACAGGUAACUGUGCAGUUAGUUUUUAUUUUCGUCUAUAUUUAAUGCUCCAUGCAUGCGACCAAAGAUUCGAUGUGACGGGGAAUCUUGAAAAUUUUUACGAACUAAACAAGGCCAAAGUUUGAAUAAAAAAAAUUAUAGUAAAAGAUUAGGGAUAAAAGUUUUGUAAUUCCAGAAGCAUUUAAACAACUCCAUAAGCUAACUGUUAAUAAAAUAUCGUAUAUUUUGAUAGUUUAUUUGUUAGGAGAAAGUCAGUUGACACAUGUAUAUCCAUUUCAAUCUCCAUGGAAGUAGAUGUACGGACGACAUGGGAAGCCAAGCCUAUCUGUGGGGAGGGCCCACGUGGCGUCUGACCGGUCUUCACAGCCGCAGUUUCGGUUACCCUAAAGUCAACGGAACCAACAAAGAACGUGCAAUUUUCUUUUUUUUUGACAACAACAAAGAAAGUGCAUUGUGGCGACAGCGAGAGAAGCAAACUGGAACCUUUUGCCAUUUAACCCUGCUAAGAUGGUUUAAUCGCAUCUUUUUAAGGUUUCAGUUAAACCCUCUCAGUCCUCGUUAUUUGCGGACUCCGUUCACAAACGACCACGGUGACGGACGGCGUGUGUUGGAAUUGGCGGGAGGCAGACAACGGCACGGCGAAUGCUAUAAAACCGGAGCACAAGGUUCACCAUUGCUGCUUGCCUCUGAAUUGACCCGUCUUCUCCGCCGGACACGGCCAGCAGGCGGCGGCGGCCACAGCUCCUCUGCUCGCUCGCGGAUGGACGCCCCGGCCCCCACGAGGGGCCCUGCGAGCUUCCUCACGCAGGCCAACGCCCUCCUCCGCAAGAACCUCUGCUUCCAGGUCCCCCUCCUCCCUCCCCUGUUUCCUCUUGCUUUGUGCUGUCUGUCUCCCGAUGAAAGUUAGACUGUUUGUGCCUUUGCUGCACUGCAAUGCAAGAAUCCAAGGAGCACCCGAUGAUGAUCGUCGUCUUCUUGGCUGUGCGAUGUGUGCAGAAGCGGAACCUCAAGACCAACAUCGGGAUCACGCUCUUCCCGGUGCUCCUCUGCGUCAUCCUCGUCGUGCUCCAGGGCGUCAUCGACAACGAGCUCGACAAGCCCAAGUACCGCUGCGGUUGCGCCUGCGUCGACCCGGGCCCGGACGCGGUCGGGGACGCGUGCCGCCGGACGGAGUGCGGCGUCCAGCACUCCACCCUGGACCAGGUCGGCAGCUGCCCGAUCCCUAGCCCGACCCCGUGGCCGGCGCUGGUGCAGGUGCCGCGGCCCGAGUCACGCGCCGUCAGGACCGCCGGCCAGCCGUUCGACGGCUUGCCUGACCCGAGCUGCCGGGACACUGGCUCCUGCCCCGCGGCCGUCCUCGUCACCGGCAACAACCGCUCGCUAGCUCAAAGUAUACAUUCCUCUUUAUUUUCUACUCCUUUCAUUCCAUGUCAAUGUCAUGGUAGCAAGCUUCCAUGCUACACAAGUCAGUUACGUGACGAUUUGUUGUUCAUAAUACGCGUGCUGUUGCCGUGUGUUCUUGUUUCAACUGGCAGACCUUUCGGGUGGACUGUUUCCUGCUUCGACUUCCUCCUUGAAUUUGACAGAUUAUCUGGAUGAACUCUCCAGGAUCGUUGCUGUGAGUUCCUGCCAGCAUAACUGCAGGCCUUGAAUAUGUAGUUUAUUCUUUGUUGCACAUACUAUGUUCAUUUUCCUCUUGUUGGUAAUGGAUGGAGUUCUUGGUUGGAUUGGUUCUCUUAGGGAUCGGACACGUGGCCAUGGACAACAGAAUUAAUAGAAUCAGCGUUUAUCCCAGGGAAUAACUUGUAUCGGCUGCAAUCUCGGUGUUUGUCCAAUCUAACACAGACAGUUUCAUUCAAUGCCGGGGUCAUACCCCUUCAGCUCAGUAAGUAGGGCCUUGUUUAGUUUCGAAAACUGAAAAGUUUUCGGUACUGUAGCAUUUUCGUUUGUUUGUGAUAAAUAUUAUCCAAUCAUAGACUAACUAGGAUUAAAAGAUUCAUCUCGUGAUUUACAGCUAAACUGUGUAAUUAGUUUUUGUUUUCGUCUAUAUUUAAUGUUUCAUACAUGUGCCACAAGAUUCGAUGUGACGAGGAAUCUUGAAAACUUUUUGGUUUUCAGAGUGAACUAAACAAGGCCUAGCAUUUCCUAAUUCCUACCUUGGUCUUGGUGGUCCACUCCUUUUCGUUUUAAAGAUGCAUGAACAUAAGGAUAGGAAAGGCACAACUGAAUACUUCGUCAAUAUUGUCUACAGGAUAAUCGUAGGAAAUAAAAUUUGUGCCUCAUUUUUGUAUAUGCUCAUGAUGAAUUCACUUCUUCAGAACAUUGUACCAAUAUAUAUUUGUUGGUUCUAUUCACAAAAGGGCCAACUGAUCAGUUGUCCAAGUGUCAUCAAAUGUUGCAAUGUUAUCUAUGACUGGGUAGAUGGGAUUUAAUUUAUCCCCCUAAACAAGCUAGAUAUUAAUUUUUCUUUUCCUAGAGAGGUUUUUUCUGUUACUGUUGAACUUUUUUGCUAUAUACAAGGAUGUCAACUUUUUUGUACAUAUUGUUUUCUAUACUUGAUAUAUUUUCUAUUUCUGAUUAUUUUCUCUUUCAAAUGUUUAGACAUAGACUGCGUUCAGGGUUUGCCACUAUGGCGUGAAAGUGCAUCAUUUGUAAAUGAUGAACUCUUUAAGGGUUACAGACAAAAUGGUGGAGGUAGUGGAGGUGGGAAGACAAAUGAAUUUGUUGCAGGUGAUCUAAUCUUCUGAUCAGACUUCAACCAAAUGUUUCCUCUUCAUUGCUUUCAGUUUUCUUAUGUGUAUAACUUGCUUCUGUCCAGGUUAUGAUUUUCUGAACACAAAUAUGAAUGGUCUUGAAAUGAAUAUUUGGUACAACUCUACCUAUAACAACAACACCGCAUACGUAUCUAUUUCAUUACUACGAGUUCCACGCUUGGUUAAUGCGGUGGGUUUGUACUACAGCACAGUUUCAUGAACAGAUAUUCAUCUGUGUGCAACUACCUCUAACACUUGAUUUCUUACCUAUAGGCAUCAAAUGAGUACAUUAAAUUUCUCAGAGGAAGUGGAGUGGAAAUGUUGCUUCAAUAUGUUAAAGAGAUGCCCAAAGUAGGAACAAAGCUGAAAUUUGACCUCUCUUCUCUUCUUGGUGCAUUGUUCUUCACGUGGAUCAUUGAACUACUAUUUCCAGUGAGUGCAAGAUAUGACCUUUUCUUAAGGAAAGAGGUAAAAAUGGAUUAAAUAUUAAGUCAAUGUUACACUUUUUGCAGGUCAUAUUAACAUAUCUCGUGUAUGAGAAGCAACAGAAGCUGAAAAUUAUGAUGAAGAUGCAUGGUCUGAAGGAUGGUCCUUACUGGCUAAUCUCCUAUUUUUACUUCUUUGCCCUGUCGGCUAUCUACAUGAUACUGUUUGUGAUUUUUGGCUCCUUGAUCGGUAAUUAACUCGAAAUUUAUUCAAGUUAAUGCAAAUUAUGCAAAUGAAGUAUGUACAUUGAAAUCAACUUUCCUCGAUGUAUGCAGGUCUAGAUUUCUUUAGGAAAAAUGACUAUAGCCUUCAAUUUGUCUUCUACUUCAUCUACAUAAACCUGCAGAUUUCACUUGCAUUUCUUGUAGCUUCCUUCUUUUCUGCUGUCAAAACAGCCACAGGUUUGUGCUCGGCUAUUUAUCUUCUGAAGAAAUUCUGUGGUGCUUAAAACCAAUGAUCUGAUUGACUGUUUUGAGAAUCAUUGUGCUGCAGUUGUUGGUUACAUCUAUGUAUUUGGCUCUGGCUUACUAGGGGAAUUUCUUCUUCGCUUUUUUGUUGAGGAUACUGGUUUUCCAAGUAAGGUUCUAUCGUUUAUUACUACUAUUUGACUAUUGGACAACUCUCUUUUGGUUUUAUGCAUGACGAUAUCUUUGUUUAUGUACAAAGAGGGUUGGAUAGUUUUAAUGGAGAUCAUCCCUGGAUUUUCAUUGUUCCGAGGAUUAUAUGAGUUUGGUCAAUAUGCAUCUGCUGGAAACUCAAUGGGGACCACUGGUAUGAAAUGGAGUAAUCUAGAUGACUCUCUUAAUGGAAUGCGUGGUGUUUUGAUUAUUAUGGUUGUGGAGUGGGCAAUACUUCUACCCUUGGCAUUCUAUGUGGAUCAAGUCUCGUCGCUGGGUGGUGGAUUCAGGAAAAAUUCCUUUUUCUUCUUGAGCUGCUUUAAAAGGCGUGCUCUAUCAUUGCGGAGAUAUAGCUUUAGGAGACAAGAAUCUAAAGUAGUCGUUGAAAUGGACAAUCCUGAUGCUGUUCAAGAAGUAAGUUACUCCCUUACAUUGUCUCUCAAUUAUACCUUCUGUAUUCUUAUUUUCUAAAUUAUGUUCAGAGAGAGGUGGUUGAGCAACUUCUGCUGGAACCCAUUGCAAACCAAGCGAUCCUCUCUGAUAACCUCAAAAAGGUUUACCAUGGAAAAGAUGGAAAUCCUGACAAACUUGCUGUCCGAGGGUUGUCUCUUGCCAUACCAAAAGGCCAGUGUUUUGGAAUGCUUGGCCCGAAUGGAGCUGGGAAAACAUCGUUCAUCAGUAUGGUACAUCAAUAUAGCCUAUUACAUUUAUUUUUUAAAAAAAUUUAGGUGAGAGUGCACUCCUCAGUGACGUAUUUUUCCCUGCAGAUGAUUGGGCUUAUUCCACCAACAUCUGGUACCGCCUAUGUACAUGGAAUGGAUAUAAGGACUGAUAUGGAUGAGAUCUAUACUAACAUGGGUGUAUGCCCACAGCAUGAGUAAGGCCUUGCUCUCAAAUUUAUAUUUUCUAUCCGAAACCCCCUGAGAUUACCAUUGCAUUCUAGUUCUCAUUUCCCUUCACUUUGAUGCAGCUUACUUUGGGAAACAUUAACAGGAAGAGAGCACCUAUUGUUUUACGGGAGACUUAAGAAUCUUAAAGGCACUGAAUUAUUGAAGGUAUAGUUCUGUAAUUGGCAUGUUUUAAUAUUAGUUCCUAUUUACCUUCACUGAGAAAUAGUCUGUGUUGAAAAGUCAUGUGCAAUGAAAAAUGCAAGCAAUGUUUGUUGACCCUAUACUGCAGCAAAAAUUCACAUGCCUCUAGAGACAUGUAUACGAAGGCCAGGCCUGGUGCAGUGGUGAGAGUUGUCUCACUGAGUCACCAGGUCGUGGGAUCGAAGCAACCUCUCUGCAGAUUUUGCGGGGGGAAGGCUUGCCUCGUUUUUUCCCUUCCCCGGACCCCACUCAUGUGGGAGGCUCCGGCACUGGGUCUGACUUUAAAGACAUGUAUACAUCUAUACUGAGUUUACAAUAUUCUGUACUGCAGGCUGUUGAUGACUCUCUGAAGAGUGUUAAUCUGUUUCAUGGUGGCGUUGGUGAUAAGCAAGUGGGAAAGUACAGUGGGGGCAUGAAACGAAGGCUUAGUGUUGCCAUCUCAUUAAUUGGGGAUCCCAAAGUACCACUCCCACUUCUGUUUAUGUUUUGGGGUGCAAAUUAUACAUUGGCAUGUGCAACUUAUAAUUUGACACCUUUAGGUGGUUUUCAUGGAUGAGCCAAGCACCGGACUUGAUCCAGCAUCAAGAAACAAUCUGUGGAGUGUUGUGAAGGAGGCAAAGAGAAACCGUGCCAUCAUUCUUACAAGUACUGAGCUCUCCUUAUACUCUGUCUAUUGCUUCUAUAGUUCUAUAUACACAAUAAUGGCAACUGAUGAAGUAAUUUUUGACAGCACACUCAAUGGAGGAGGCAGAAGUACUAUGUGAUAGACUUGGCAUUUUUGUCGAUGGUGGUUUCCAGUGCCUUGGUAACCCAAAAGAGGUAACUUACCUAUUUACAUGUAUGGAGCAGACAUGUACAUUUUUGCGUAGCUGUUUAUUGAUCACUUUGCAAAUGUUUGCCAUGAAUUGUUUUGUAGCUGAAAGCUAGAUAUGGCGGCACCUAUGUACUGACAAUGACAACAUCUUCGGAGAAUGAAAAGGAGGUUGAGCAGCUUGUUCACCACCUAUCACCAAAUGCGAGCAGGAUAUACCACAUUUCAGGAACCCAGAAAUUUGAGCUGCCAAAGCAGGACUUGAAGAUUGCUGAUGUAUUCCAUGCCGUCGAGAGUGCAAAAUGCCGGUUCAACAUAUAUGCUUGGGGCCUGGUUGACACCACCUUGGAGGAUGUCUUUAUUAAGGUUGCCAAGGGAGCACAAGCAUUCAAUGUUGUUACGUAAGUAGUAUAAUCGAUUUAUAGAUGUCACUCUCUUUUUUGUUGUGGAAUAUGUGGUGUUUAUGCUUGUCUGAACUAUGGUUAUAGUCUCCAUAGGAUUGAGGUUGUGGUGUAUAUUUUAGUAUAGUUAAGUUGUAUAUAUAUUCUGUAAUUUGAAUGUCAUGUGUUGUCCCUUAACAAAUAUAGAUAUACUUUGUUCAUAGUGUUAAAUCUUUAUAAUGUUCGUAAGAGAAGUCUAGUCGAAUACAAAAAGGAUCCACGCCACCAUCGCAGCGCUCAUGCGAUAUCUUAAAUGGGUUUCAUCUAAAUAAAACUUUAUAAAACUCUAUCUCUCUCUCUUCAUAAUUAACGAACCAAGUCAUCAAAUCUCCUGCGAUGUGUUAAAAUAUUUAAUGCAAAUAAAACUCAGAUUAAAUUUCCAUUGAGACUAGGCUUGACAAGCAGCUUACUUUAAAAAAUAAAAACAUUCAAUGAAAGAAAGUCUUCACUUUUGUUUGCAUUAUUGCACAUAUGUACUUGAUUACACAUUUCUUUUUGCUAAACUGAAAAAAAAGUACGAGAUUGUUAUGACGGGCAUAACAUACCAGCACCAUAAGCCUAAUAGUGGCUAGGAGAAGGCGGUGGAAUUAGGGGGUUUAGCCCAUAUACGCUGCUAUUAAUACUAAUCUUAGAGAGUUUUCUUAUAAUUGCUAUUACUAGAGAGAUAUAAAUAUUUGUAAACUCUAUGGGACAAAUUAAGGAGAAAAAUUAUUUGUUUCCGGCUUCCUGAAGGGAGCCGGGAUUCCACUGACCUCUAACCGUGUGUGCAGUAGCAGCCACGGCGCCUCCUCGCCGUCUUCCUCGCGUGCUCAAGCCUCGACCUCCUCCCUCGCACUCAUACAGCCUAAGAUCAAUCCCUGGUAGGACUAGGGUUCUUAUCACCUGGGUAUCAGGGAAUUCCAGGACGAUGACGACGUUUCCGCCGACCUCCGACGCCUGCCGCCGCCGGGCUCCAGCGCCCCGCUGUCUGCUGCCCCUUCCGAAGUCUCGGAAUCCUCCAGCACCGCCCUUACCCUGGAGGGAUUGGCCAGGGUGGUCGACCAAACCGGCCACAACAUGGCUCAGCUUGGCCACACCGUGGACGUCCUCAGUCACAACAUGGCUGCCAUGCAGCAGUCCUUGGCGAGCCUGCUGCCGCCGCUGCCUCCACCAUCCUCGCAGCCGGCACCACCACCGCCUGUGCCGUCUACAUCUCCGUCAAUCAACUAUUCCUUCGGGAUGCCGCCUGACAGCUCCGAGAUCCCCCUGCACCAGAUGCGGUGGCUAGCCUCUCCUUCGCCCAUCCCAUCGUGGGCGCUGAUGGGCCGCCAAUCUACACGGCGCCAACAACCAUCACGCCAUCGGCGGGGACCAGGCCCAGCGAGCCCCUAGCCCCGAGCAUGGGUACUUUCUAUGGCGGUACCGACGGGACGCUACUCUACAGCGGCGCCCCUGCGUUCCCAGCAGCAGGGGCCGAUGGCCACCCAGCCGACGGCGCGCUUGGCGGUGCCCAUGUUGGCACCCCUGCUAACUUCCACGCGAGCGCCCAUGCUCCGCCUCGCUUCUACAAGCUGGAGUUCGCCAAUUAUGAUGGCGCCGUCGACUGCUCAACCAGUGUGAGCAGUUUUUUUGGGGGCAGCGCACCCUCGCCUCCGAUCGCAUGUGGCUGGCCUUCUACCACCUUCGUGGCAUGGCGCAAACAUGGUACUAUGUUCUUGAACAAGAUGAGGGCAUGCCUAUAUGGGAGCGAUUCCAUGAGCUGUGCCAGCUUCGCUUCGGGCACCCAACGCAGAGCACUCAUUUGUCGAAACUCGCUCAACUGCCGUUCUCCUCCUCCAUCUAGGACUACUCAGAGCGCUACAAUGCUGUCCUCUACCAUGAGCGCGACCUCAACGCCCGUCAAAAGGCUCAGCUGUACGUGGGCGGUCUUCCUGAGCACAUCAGGGUUGACAUGGAGAUGCACCACCCGCCGGACCUCCAACCUGCGAUGUACUACGUGCAGGCCUAUGAGCGGCGCACGACGUCCUUCCUCCCUGCUCUAUAGCAGCUGCAGCAAUAGCGGGGCAGCCGUGGACCUCGACCUGCAGCACCUGCACCUCCUGCGGCUGCCCCGGUCCAGCCGACCGCUGUUGCUGCCCCGGGGCAGCCACACAUCAUCUGGCGUCUCAUGCUGACCGAGCAGAUGGAACGGUGACGAUAAGGCCUCUGCUUCAACUGUGAUGAGCCGUAUGCUCGCGGCCAUAUCUGCAAGCGCCACUUCUACCUCGAGACCGUUGAUGAGCUAGGGCACUGUUCAUGGUAGAUAAGUAUUCUUUUUAACCGUCAACAUAGCAUGAGAUAGGACUAAAAUCAGAAUAUCAUCUAGCUAUAGGGGUUAUCACUAACAGAAUUCCAUAAAUUUUGGUGAUUUUCUAUUUCUACAGGGGGUAUCGAAAUAAGAACAAAAGGAGGUCCACAUGUCAGAUUUACAUAGAGAUAAUGUGUGAACUUCAACACAGGAAUACUCUAGAAGACACGAGAAGACGACCCUAUAAAGUGGGGCCCCCUGGCAGCCAGCCAGGGGCGGGCGCCCCACCUGCCAGGGGUGGCCGCCUGAGGGCAGCAGCCAAUCAGCUGCCACCUCGCGGAUCCUGCCUCCACCGUCUUUGAGGAGUAAUCUUGAGCGCACGUUAAGUCGGUUUGAUCCAAGGGUUGUGGUGCUUCCUAGGGGGAUAUAAAUACAAGUCUGACCCUCCCCCUAGAAACCCUAAUUUCAAAAGAAGAAUUUAUUAUUCUCUGAGGAAUUUAGAUUUAGACAGAGAGGGGUCCCUCGAAUGGAUCUGUCUCUUUAGGGUUAUUAACCACCAUCUCAAUUAGAGCUCUGUAGUUUUAUAGCAUAACUACAUAGGAAUAGAUCUCGAAGGAGUCGAGCCUAGCUUGGAGUUCGGAUUUAUCUUCAGUUUGUGGUAAACUCUUAAUAUUCUUUGUAAUAUUCAUAUUAGUUCUUGCUACUAUGAAUAUGACUUUGAUCUAUUUGAUUAUAUCGGAAUUGACUUUAUUCUAUUUGCUCAUGUUCUUAAUUAUAAUAUUAUUAGUCUACAUUGAUUAUAUGCUUAGCGUAGUUAGAUUAGAAUUAUGUUUAUGCAUAGGAUCGUAUAGCGCUUACUCAUUAGGCCAUCGGGUAAGUGGUAGAUAUUUUGUAGGCGAGGUGCCUAGACCGUAUUUAUCUGCGAUUACCCCUUAUAGUCCAGAGCUCGAGGUAGAUCGCGGGAGUGACAGUCCUGUUGAGUCUUUUGUAUUCCUCCACCCGAUUAUAAGGCUUGUAGAGCACCAUUGUUACAGGGAAGUGAUUGCUAUGUUCAUGAUCUUUCUUGCUAAUAUCACUAUGCAUAGAUAUAACAUUUUCUUACGAUGAUGCUAGGCGUAAUUGCACUAAUCAAUGUAUGCUUUAAUAGUAUAGUUAGAAUACUUAGGAUUUAUUCUUAUAGAUCGUCCUAGUCUAUGCUAGUGCUAUAAACUUAAAGUACUCUAUUGAGAUGAUUAUCAUAUUUAUAUGACUAUAUGUUAUCCUUUAUCCUAUGUCACUUAUCAUUCAUAUUCAUAUUAUUUAUCUUAUGUGACACUUACCCUAUAUGAGAGAUAAAUAAAGACAUGGUUAAGAUCUCCAUGACUACAUGCAGUGCUCAUUGCUCAUUAUCUAUUGGAAGUCCCUUCCCAGUGGUAAAAAUAUAAAUAACGAUACCUAGAAUAUUCCUGGUUAAAAUGCUACAUCGGUAUUAUCUGUGCACUUGUGGAUCCUUUAUUUAUUUAUUUCCUAGAAAAGCAUAUAGAUUUAAUACCAGCACUUCUACAUCAUGCUGGGGAUGACAACCUAGCUUAAGUGAUGUAAAAUAAGUUUAACUCCAUUUGCUAAGAAUAGGUUUAAAAGUCUAUUUUUAGUAGUUGCAUUAAGAUGUGUCAACAAGCAUUUUUGGCGCCGUUGCCGGGAAGGUGAAGGCAUCAAAGAAUAAUGAGCAUCACUGCAUCCACUCAUGGAUUGAGCACCAUCCACCCAUCUCACUCAUGUAGACUUACCCUUGUCUUUUGUCUAUUUUAUAUAUCAUAUGUAGGGUAAUGUAUGAUUAGGUUUGAUCUACCAGAUAACUUCAUUGAUAAUCUAGAAACAUUGAUCAGGAAGACAAAGGCUAAGUUGAGAAGAAAUCAAUUAACAUCAUCAUCAUCUCAGCUUACCAAUCCUCCCGAGUCAGAAGAUCAACCUAUCAUUCAAAGUUUGACACUCGAGCUUGACGUCAUGGCCGACAAGUCACUUCUUGAGUUCUCAGCUCCCACUAUGGCCAACAUCCGUACUAGACCACCUGUAGACAUCAAUGGGUCAUUUGAGCUCGAGUCGGUGUUGAUCAACAUGGUGCAAGCAAGCUAGUUCUGUGGGAAGGCCCAUGAAGAUGCUAGUGCUCAUCUCCAACACUUUCUGGCGAGCUAUACUACUUUCACUAUCAAGGACGUCCCCAGAGAUGCUAUACUACUUCGUCUUUUCCUAUUCUCACUCUUGGGAGAAGUGAAGCAGUGGUUCUAUGCCAAUAAGGAGAAGAAUACUAUGUGGGCACUAUGUUCCACCAAUUUCUUGGUGAAGUUUUUUCCCAUAGGAAAGAUCAAUGCUCUUCAUAGGAAGAUAUCAAGUUUUUAGCAACAACAUGAUGAGAUAGUCCCAGAAGCUUGCGAGCGCUUUCAAGACUACAUACUCGACUAUCCUCAUCAUGGGAUGGAGAAUUAGCUACUUAUGCACACAUUCUAUCAUGGGCUCAACAACAACACUUGUGAAACCAUGGAUGUUGCUGCUGGAGGUGUAUUCUUAUCACUUACCAUUUCUCAAGCCACUACUCUUGUGGAAAAGAUGGUCUCCAAUCAAGGUUGGAGUGAAGAGAGAACUCAAACCCGCAAGAGAGGUGGAGGGAUACACCAGCUUAAGGUGGUAGACAUGCUAGCUGCCAAGAUGGACCUGCUGAUGAAAAGGCUUGAUGAGAGAGCCACUAAGAAGAAGGAAGUCAUGCACAUUCAUGAUUUUGGCAUGACUUGUGAUGAGUGUGAAGAAACUGGACAUACAGGUACCAACUGCCCAGAGCUAACGGAGGACGUGAACUACAUCAACAAUAACAACAACAACUACUACCGUCCUUAGCAAAAUCAAGGUUGGAACCAGCAACAACAAGCUAACUACUCAGGUAAUUACAAUGCUAAUAAUUCUUACAAUAAUACUAAUCAACCACCUUUAAGAGAGUUAGUGCUUAAUCAGGGCAAGUUAAUGGAUAGCCUGUCUAAGAAGCUAGCAUCUAAUGAUAAAACUUUAGAAUCAAUCAACAUUAGAAUGAAAAGUUUUUCCAAUGCUAUCAAGAAUCAACUUAGCUUUAAUAAGAUGCUAGAAGCUUAGUUACAACAAUUUGCUCCCUUUGCUGCCACCAACAACCAAGGUAAGAUUCCUAGACAACCGAGAGAAUUAGAAACUACAAAUGUUGUAGACAUCUUUAAUAUAGGAAGUUACUGGAGUGAUCCUCCGAGAGGAACAUGGAUUGACGCAACUGUGCCAAUCAAGAAAGGUGAUCCAGGGAGACUGGUUAUUCUGAUCUCCAUUGGAAGUACAAACUUCAAAGAGGCAAUCUAUGACUUCGGUGCAAGCGUCAACAUCAUGCCUAAGGUGAUAUAUGAAAAGCUAAUUAAUAUUCCUUUAUCGUACACAAACAUAUGUUUGUAGCUUGUAGACUAGUCAAUCUGCUACCCCAUGGGAAUCCUGGAAGAGAUCUGCGCACAAGUAGGCAACUUGUAUAUACCUGUAGACUUCACACUAGUGAACACAGACAGUAAUGAGAGGUCACCUAUCAUUUUGGGAUGACCAUUCUUGAACACUACCGGAGCCAUUAUCUACGCCAACAAUGCCAAGAUCACCUUCAAUAUUAAGGGCAACAGGGAAGCCUAUUCUUUUAAGAAGAGGACAUUGUUAUUCCCUACUCAGAAAGAAACUAUCGGCGGUAGAAACAAGAGCAACACCCAGAACAAGGCCAAAACCAAGAACAAGGACGUGGUUCGUCCCAGACAUAGACAUAUCCCUUUGAAGUAGAGAAACCAAAGUUACCCUCUCUAUUCUGCUACCAUCGCCCAUAUACUAGAAUUGCUCUACUCUUAUUCCCAUAUUAUCACUCACUGUUAUCUUACCUUUAAUAUUGUUCUUAUUCAAUUCUACCAUCUUUCCUAUUUACACUUAUCUAUUUAUCUUGGUUAAGUUAGAGCGUAGUUAGUUCUCCCGUUUCCCUGUGGAUACGAUAAAACCUUUAACCGGGUAAAAGCUUCAACGGUAUCCGUGCGCUUGCGGAUUAUCUGUGUGCGUAUAAAUACCAUAGUACACUCUAGUGCCAUGCUGGGGAUGACAACCUAGUAUUCAAGUGGUGUUAGCAAGUGUCAACAAGCAUUUUUGGCGCCGUUGCCGGGGAAACGGUUGCUGAGUUGACUACGAACUAACUUAAUCAUUUUCUAAAAAAAUAAUAAAAAAAAUAUUUUUCCUUUUAUCCUUUGCCUCAUCUCUGCUAAUCUUUCUUCUUAUCUAAUCCUUGAUCUCUGGUCUAUCAUGAAUUCAAACAUGUCUAUCUAUGAAUUUCAUUGACCUUCGGGCACACAUCUCGAACCACCAAAAUCUUCAAAGCCUAUCAUAACAUCUAGUUUUGAGAUAGACCCCGAAUACAUAGAAUUUGUUCAAAAAGAACCUUUCUCAGGAGAAGGUGAGGAAAACCCAUACGCACACCUAAGAGAGUUUUAUCAAGUCUGUGACCUCUUUCGCAUAGAAGGAAUGUCCGAUGAGACCCUCAAAUGGAAGCUCUUUCCGUUCUCUUUAACGGGAAAAGCUAGACAUUGGUACAAACUCAAAGUAGGGAGUGUUCAUGGAGAUUGGAAGGAGUUAUAUAGUAGUUUUCUUUCUAAAUAUUUUCCAAUCUCCAAAGUGGUGGAACUUCAGCGUGAGAUUAUUUCUUUUAGACAGCUGGAAGAAGAAUCUCUUAGGAAAUCAUGGGACCACUUUAUUAACCUUACUCUCACUGGCCCGAAGCUUUCUAUUCCAGAAGAAGUUCUUCUAAUUCACUUUUUUGAGGGCCUUAGUGGGGAAAAUAAGCAAACCUUGAAUACAGCCUCUAGAGGAUCCUUCUAUCACCUACCUGCUAGUGAAGCUUGGAAUUUGAUUGAUUUAUUAAGUGGAAAGUCUCCUAGCUUUUAUAUCCCUGAGAAAGAGACAGAACCAGUUCCUAGACAAGAAGAAGAAGUUUCGAUAGCCAGAUCACAACCACUUCAAUUCCAAACUUUAGCUAACGAUCCUAAACCAUCAAUACCCCAAAAUUCUCCAAGGGAGGAAGGAAUUCUGACCUUAAAUCUUUCAGAUGCUAAUGGUUUAGACUUCUGGUUCCAUAAGAGACCUUCAAGCAGGGAUAAUUCAAAUCCUCGCAAUAAUGGUUCUCUUAGAGAAUGUCCUGGUUCCUGUUAUGAAGAAGUCGAGGAUGACAUAUCAAGUGAAGGAGAGCUAAGCCAUAUUGAAAAUUCUAACAGCUCCCCUUUCCUGAUCACAAGUUCUAAAUGGCUAGAAUGUGUAGAAUGGAUGGAUAAGGAAGAAGCCUUAAUGAAUUCUGACUUUGGUUCAAUUUCAAAUGGUGAGUUCUUGACUCCCUUUGAAGAUGGGAUUCAUCCAACUAUAGAAGAGGACAUAAGUGAGACCAAUCCAAGAGAAACUCUGAACAUUCAGAUUGGAGACGAAGAUAACAUUAAUGAGCAUGGAAUUUAUUUCAUAGCCACUUUGUUUACUCCAUGCUCAUAUGCAACAUCUUCACAAUCUAUUGGUCUCUCCAACAUCACCACAUUUGAGAUCUCCAACCCCCUCUUCCUUUCUAUUUAUAAAAACUUUAAAAGGGCGGUUGUCGAUGCAUAUGUCUAUAAUAAAUAUUGCAGAUCUCGUUGAGUUGAUCUUGAUUUAGGUCAGCGUUGGAAGGAAAACCACUUCGCCGACAUAAAUUGAUGGUUUCCCAAGGACAAGCUUAGUGUCCUCAAAUAAGCACUGAUCAGAUCAUAACAUGAGUUUUUAAUUAUUUUCAACAUUACCCUGUGUAUUGAGCAUAUAAGGAUAAUUGUAAAAAUAUUCCUUCGGGUAUUCUUGUCACUAACCUUUGCAGGAUUAGAACAAGAAGAUCAGAUGAAUGACAAGCAAGUACAAGGUAUGUCCAACCAAUCAUCAUGCAACACUGAAUUAAAUUCAUCCAAACUUGAAUUUUGCAAAAUUCAAGCUUGGGGGAGUACUUUACAUAAAAACAUCCUUUUCCAUGUUGCUAUGCUGGUUGUCCCUACCUUUGAGACAUGUUCAAUUUGUUAAAUACUAAUCACACUACUUCAUCUCCACUUGAGUAGAUCUCUAUAAAUGCUGUCAUGUUACCUUUGUCUAUUUUCUAGUAAGUGUUAGUUUGAAAGUACUGCACAUACUUCUAUUGGCUUUUAAAUUAAGCAUGGUGCUUAGGUUAAACAGCCUUCCUUAAUCUGAUUAGACAUGGAGUCUAGUUCGGUUAUUGAACUAAAAACUUCUUGUGUAGACAUUGGUAUAUUUUUGUCGGACUAACCCCUGCAGAAAAACUUUCAAUAUCGAUUUGGGAAGUCCUGAGAUAAACUCACAUCAGAGACGAAGAGAGUGACACAUGAAGUUUAACAAUUUGCACAAGAAGGACAUAGCUCAUUCAUCAUAGAGAGAUGAUCCAUGGAGGGUGCCACAAACACGAUGCACAACCGUUAAGAAAGGAAAACUUCCACAAGGUGAUACUGUACCAUCACUCUUCAAGCAAGGUAACAUCUUAAGGUACUUGACUAUCACUUUUAUAAGCUUCUGCUUGGUUCUAGCGUUCAUAUAAAUAAAAGAGACAAACAUGUAUGAUUUACAACUCUAGAUUAACCAACCCAACUGAUUCAACAUGUUUAGUCCUUUAAUCCUUGUUCUUAGUACUACCUCCAUGAUCCCACACUCCUAAUCAUAUGAGCUAAAAUGUUACAAAUUCAAUCAUUGAGAGAUAUAAAGGAAAAGACAUAUACAUAGAUAGAUUAUCUUUCCAUAAGGUUGAGAUCUGAUCUGACAAAUGUUAUAAGUGCUACACUCAUGAACUUUUCAUCCAUCAACUUUGUCUUGCUCACUAUGCUUAGGGUUAGAGAAGAACAAAUACACUUUAGGUUCUGUUGGUGUUUUCCACCAACAGGACCCAUGCACUUGAUCUCUGUCUUGUCUCUAUGAGCAGGUACACUUCGAGCAAAACACGGAGGAGUUUUAUAACUCUCAGACUCUACCAAGUGAAGGACCUGGAUCUACGAGCACAAACACACUGAGCAGGAUACUGCCAACGCCACACUUCGAACUGCUGGGCAAACGAAGAGGUGCAGACGUCAAGGUCCGCACCUGAAUCAAAUGACGCACAUGAAGAAUGAACACGGUGAGAAGUCUUGUUAAGAAGACUUAAAACAUUGAACCCUCGCCGAAAGGUAAGAUCAGUAGUUAUCCAUUUUUAUCCUUUCUGCAUUCCCUUUUCCCUCUAAUUAUUUACUUUCCUUAAAUAGAUUAUUAGUUAAUCAUGCUAUCUUGAAAAGAAAAUAAAAAUAUUAAAAAACAUUAAGCCCCAUGUGAGUAUACGAGUGGCAUAAAACCCAUAAGUACCUUCACUAUGGUGGCAUAAAAAUAAAAUAAAUAUUUCUUUUCUGCUUUAUAAAAUAAAAAUAUAAAAACAGGGAGUAAUAUUUAUUGAGGAAGCUCAACAUGACAAAGGCUAGAUAUUUAUGCUAACACUUAAUUAGUUCCAUAAGCUUUGUUGUCUAUUUGAGCUCCACAGAAUUUAAGAAUCAAGAAGACUAGCAGACGGAGGACAUUCUAAUCGCUGUCAGAAUACUGCUGACAUUCAAAUACACCUCUGCCACCUGCUAGCUACAUCAAGAGAAAUUACGUCAAAAUUCAGCUUGGGGGUGAGCACCCCCAUUUAUCUCGCUAAGUAUUUCUACCUAUCUUUAUACUUAUAUUAUAUUAGAAUAUUAAAAUACAUAAACUAUGAAAAACCAAAUAAAGAUUUUGUGCUUAUAAAUAAAUAUUUUGCUUAGUGUGUUUAAUAAAUAAAUAAAGUGGCUAUGCUAAUCUGAAUCUUAAUAAUAAAACUCUAGCAUGGAUAUGAUGAAUAGUUGCUCUGCCUAAUUUGCAAAUUUGAAGUUCUCUCUCAAGUUUAGACAUAACUGUUAUAAUUUAAAGGUUGCUCUAGAUCUAAACUUGUGGGAUGAAAACUUGAUCUGAAAUCUAAGUUGUUAACGGAUAUGAUAUGGGAAGGUUGAGCUGCUGUUUAUCUGUUCCUAGAGAUGCUAGAACUCUAGAGAAUUUUAUCUUUGAAAAAUCUUUAAAAUAUUGCAUGAUGAGUUCCUGUAUGAUGAGAGUUUAAAUUCCUACCACAGCCAUAUAUACAUGCUUGCUAGACUUUGAGCCACACAUUUAUUAUUUACUGCUUAUGAGCAUUGAGUGUGGUCAAGCUGUGUAGACCCUUAGGAGCUUGUCAUGUGGUUAAAUCAAGAUUCACUUGCACGUUCACUCAUAUAUGCUACUUCUACUCCGGAAUUACCAUCCACAUAUAUCCAUCCAUGUCCAUCUCCAGAACCACCCAAAAAUAUUCUACUCCUAAUCCGGGAGAGAAUAGCCAAAAAUAUUUCUGUUUUCCCUUGUGAAAUAAAUGCUCAAGUUAUCUUGCUACUACCACUUGCUAUAUUAUCUCAAGAGAUGAGUGCUCUGAAAAGAAAAAAAAUAAAAAAGAAAAAAAAUGAAAAAAAAAUAAAUGAGGAAAUAAAAAGGGGCAAGUGCCCGGAACCUCGAAAGAAAGAAAAAGUGAGACGAGAGGUAAAAAUGGACAAGUGUCCGACAGUCGAAUUAGGGGUACAAGAUACCCACCUGAGAGGAAAUAAAAAGAAGAGCAUCUCAUUCUCCUCAUAAAGUUUCAAAAAGCAAGGAAGGUAUGUAUCCCCUCAAAAGAGCAAAAGUAGAAUUAGACUUUCACCAUUGUUAUCACCAUCAUCACCAUACACCAUUCAUUCGCCACACAUGCACAUCUUGAUUUGGCUUAUUGAUUUGUUUCUUUGGAUCCAUGGUUUGACUAUACAAUAAAUGUCUUGUAAGUAUGUAUUAGCUGUCUCCCACCUAUGAGCUCUAGAUAUUAAAGCCUUAUUAGAGUAGGGUGAGAGAGAAGGCAAUGUCACUAUGCCUUAUGCCACAAAUACCAUAUAUCUUGAGAGAAGGCAUAUACCAUCACUGCCGUGGUAAGGAUCCAGAAAUACCACAAAAGAGAGAUUUAGAGAGUCAUACAAGGAAUCUCUAAGUUUUAUUUGAAAAUCUGCAAAAACUCCAAAGCUAUAGCUGAUCAAGAAUAAGAGACAUGGCACUUGGCUAGACUAUUCUAUCUUUUAACUACUCAAGACAGAAGUGACGGUUACAAGUCCCAUGGUGAAAGAUAAAGUAAGUAAGUUUUAGUUCUUGACAGUUUACUCUAACUCAGAGAUGAGAUCUUAUUUAAAAGCAUGUGUAUCGUCAAAUAUUUAAGAUAUUGCAACAACUUCUGAUCCAUUGCUGAGUCUAUCCUUGCUCAGGGACGAGCAAGAGGUAAGCUUGGGGGAGUUUGUUGACGGUCCUUAAGUAUCAAAUUUAAUUAUAAAAUAAACAAAGAAAAGGAUCCAAAUGAAAUCAACAUCUAGACUUAGGGUUUUAUCUGACAGAAUUCUACGAGUUUUGGUGUUUGUCUAUUUCUGCAGGGGGUUAUCAGGAAAUAUGGAAGAAAGGCCCACACGUCGGGAUUACAUAGAGAUAUUAACGUGCCGCGCAAUUUUACGUCAUCUAGAAGACUUCAGAAGCCACGGGAAGGAAGCGGAGACCGAACGGAGUCAGGGACAGGGCGCCCGCCCACCUUUUUCGGCCAAUCACGCUCAAUCUCGCGGAUUAUGCUCCAUCGACCUAAAGGAUCAAGAAUAACCGUUCAAUCAAUGUCGGUUUGAUCCAACGGCCCAGGUUCACUUGAGGGGACUAUAAAACCAGACCCCCUGGCCCCUGGAGGAGGCACCCCUUGAUCAUUAUUCAUUAUUCAUAGACAGAGCAAAAGCUAGGGUUUAGAGAUGAGAGCUCUCCUCUCUUCUCUAAACUAGAGUAGAUCUAGAUAGUAGCGAGAUGGAGAGCGAAGGAGGAUUAGAGGAGAGGCCGGCAUGUCGGUUCUUCCUCCGGUU
rnacentral:lncRNA from 1 species